rnacentral:tRNA from 1 species
GCAGAAGUGGCGGAAUCGGCAGACGCGCUGGCUUCAGGUGCCAGUGGUGGCAACACCGUGAGGGUUCAAGUCCCUUCUUCUGCA